CGAUAACUUCUAAAAUGCAAUUCUUGAUUGAAACUAAUUUGAAACAAUAUGCAAAUAUGGCCCUAGUAAUCAAGUCAAUUCCUGGUUGUGGAUGCCCUCCGCUUGGGCGAGAUAAGGUCAUUAGAGCCGGCACCAGGCUUUUGCCAUGGUGGGAACAACCAAAUUAAAGCUGGUUACUGGCAAUAAUCAGUUGUGCUUGUUCCGUAGAAUAAUUGAUAUUAAACAAAUAAAAUAUAAAAGACUUAGCAAGGGAAUCGUUACGAGGGUCCCGACGGUGACCCCCACCUGUCUGGCAACAUAUACAAUUUAUAGAAUUUUGUACCACAGACGCACACUGACACACACACACAC